CUCCUACGGGAGGCAGCAGUGAGGAAUAUUGGUCAAUGGGCGCAGGCCUGAACCAGCCAAGUAGCGUGAAGGAUGACUGCCCUAUGGGUUGUAAACUUCUUUUAUAUGGGAAUAAAGUUUUCCACGUGUGGAAUUUUGUAUGUACCAUAUGAAUAAGGAUCGGCUAACUCCGUGCCAGCAGCCGCGGUAAUACGGAGGAUCCGAGCGUUAUCCGGAUUUAUUGGGUUUAAAGGGAGCGUAGGUGGACAGUUAUGUCAGUUGUGAAAGUUUGCGGCUCAACCGUAAAAUUGCAGUUGAUACUGGCUGUCUUGAGUACAGUAGAGGUGGGCGGAAUUCGUGGUGUAGCGGUGAAAUGCUUAGAUAUCACGAAGAACUCCGAUUGCGAAGGCAGCUCACUGGACUGCAACUGACACUGAUGCUCGAAAGUGUGGGUAUCAAACAGGAUUAGAUACCCUGGUAGUCCACACAGUAAACGAUGAAUACUCGCUGUUUGCGAUAUACAGUAAGCGGCCAAGCGAAAGCAUUAAGUAUUCCACCUGGGGAGUACGCCGGCAACGGUGAAACUCAAAGGAAUUGACGGGGGCCCGCACAAGCGGAGGAACAUGUGGUUUAAUUCGAUGAUACGCGAGGAACCUUACCCGGGCUUAAAUUGCAUUUGAAUAUAUUGGAAACAGUAUAGCCGUAAGGCAAAUGUGAAGGUGCUGCAUGGUUGUCGUCAGCUCGUGCCGUGAGGUGUCGGCUUAAGUGCCAUAACGAGCGCAACCCUUAUCUUUAGUUACUAACAGGUCACGCUGAGGACUCUAGAGAGACUGCCGUCGUAAGGUGAGAGGAAGGCGGGGAUGACGUCAAAUCAGCACGGCCCUUACACCCAGGGCUACACACGUGUUACAAUGGCCGGUACAGAGGGCCGCUACCAGGUGACUGGAUGCCAAUCUCAAAAGCCGGUCGUAGUUCGGAUUGGAGUCUGUAACCCAACUCCAUGAAGUUGGAUUCGCUAGUAAUCGCGCAUCAGCCAUGGCGCGGUGAAUACGUUCCCGGGCCUUGUACACACCGC
rnacentral:rRNA from 1 species